GUAAAUAAUUAAGGGCGUAUGGUGGAUGCCUAGGCUCUCAGAGGCGAAGAAGGACGUGAUAAGCUGCGAAAAGCUCCGUUUAGGUGCAAAUAACCUUUGAUGCGGAGAUCUCCGAAUGGGAUAACCCAAUAUGUUGAAGACAUAUUAUACCGUAAGGUAGGCAAACGCAGGGAACUGAAACAUCUAAGUACCUGCAGGAGAAGAAAACAAACGUGAUUCCCCCAGUAGCGGCGAGCGACCGGGGAUAAGCCCAAACCGUUAUUGUUUCGGCAGUAGCGGGGUAGUAGGACUGCGACAUUGAUGAAAUAAAUGAAAUGGAACACCUUGGAAAAUGUGAUCACAGAGGGUGAUAAUCCCGUACAUGCAAGUUUAUGAAUCAUAGCAGUAUCCUGAGUAAGUCGGGACACGUGUAAUCCUGACCGAAUCCGCCGGGACCAUCCGGCAAGGCUAAAUACUCCUGAGAGACCGAUAGUGAACCAGUACCGUGAGGGAAAGGUGAAAAGCACUUCGAACAGAAGAGUGAAAUAGUUCCUGAAACCGUGCGCCUACAAGCGGUCGGAGCAGCGUAAGCUGUGACGGCGUGCCUUUUGCAUAAUGAACCUACGAGUUACCGUUGCCGGCAAGGUUAAGGGUCAUGAGGCCUGUAGCCGAAGCGAAAGCGAGUCUGAACAGGGCGUAUAGUCGGUAGUGGUAGACGCGAAACCAAGUGAUCUACCCUUGAGCAGGUUGAAGUCCGGGUAACACCGGAUGGAGGACCGAACCAAUAAGCGUUGAAAAGCUUCUGGAUGACUUGAGGGUAGGGGUGAAAGGCUAAUCAAACUUGGAGAUAGCUCGUACUCCCCGAAAUGCAUUUAGGUGCAGCCUUGACCAUUACUAAUGUGAGGUAGAGCGACUGAUAAGAUGCGAGGGCUUCACCGCCUAUCAAGUCUUGACAAACUCCGAAUGCCGCGGCAUGAUUCCCCGGGAGUGAGGGCAUGGGUGCUAAGGUCCAUGUCCUAAAGAGGAACAACUCAGACCACCGGCCAAGGCCCCCAAAUACGGGCCGAGUUGAAGCCAAUAACGAGGUGGGAUUGCAUAGACAGCUAGGAUGUUGGCUUGGAAGCAGCCAUUCAUUUAAAGAGUGCGUAACAGCUCACUAGUCGAGCGGUCCUGCAUGGAUAAUACGCGGGCAUAAGCAUAUAACCGAAGCUAUGGGAUUGUAGAUGAUACAAUCGGUAGGAGAGCAUUCCAUUCAGCAUAGAAGCAGUACCGUGAGGUAUUGUGGAGCGGAUGGAAAAGCAAAUGUAGGCAUAAGUAACGAUAAUGCGGGUGAGAACCCCGCACGCCGAAAGAUCAAGGAUUCCCCGGCAAUGUCAAUCAUCCGGGGGUAAGUCGGAUCCUAAGGGUAAGCCGAGUGGCGAUCCCGAUGGCAAACAGGUUAAUAUUCCUGUACUGAUCAUAACUGCGAUGCAGCGACGCAGAGGUGACACUGCUGCGUACUGACGGAAUAGUACGUUGAAACCCGUAUUCUUUGAUACCGGUAGUGAAGCACGCCGGUAGAGAUGAAAGGUGAUAGUACCGCAAUGCUUCGGUUGCGCGGAUAACGCAGGUAAGCUGACUGCCAAGAAAACCUGCUAAGCUUCAGGUAAUGAUCAUCCGUACUGUAAACGGACACACGUGAUCAGGUAGAAAAUACUAAGGCGCUCGAGAGAUUCAUGGUUAAGGAACUAGGCAAAAUGGUCCUGUAACUUCGGGAUAAAGGACGCUCUUGUGAAAGAGCCGCAGAUAAUAGGCCCAGGCGACUGUUUACCAAAAACACAUGGCUAUGCUAAUUCGCAAGAAGAUGUAUAUGGCCUGACACCUGCCCGGUGCCGGAAGGUUAAGAGGAGAGCUCAGAUGUAAGUCGAAGGUUUGAAUUGAAGCCCCGGUAAACGGCGGCCGUAACUAUAACGGUCCUAAGGUAGCGAAAUUCCUUGUCGGGUAAGUUCCGACCUGCACGAAUGGUGUAACGAUCUGGACACUGUCUCAACCGUGAGCUCGGUGAAAUUGUAGUCCCGGUGAAGAUGCCGGGUACCCGCAACGGGACGAAAAGACCCCGUGAACCUUUACUAUAGCUUAACGCUGAAUUUGGGUACACAAUGUGUAGGAUAGGCCGGAGACAUUGAAGCGGGUACGCCAGUAUUCGUGGAGUCAACGUUGAAAUACGGCCCUUUGUGUACUUGGAUUCUAACCCUCGAGAGGGGACACCGUUUGGUGGGUAGUUUGACUGGGGUGGUCGCCUCCAAAAGAGUAACGGAGGCUUCUAAAGGU
rnacentral:rRNA from 1 species